rnacentral:rRNA from 1 species
UACGGGGGGGGCAAGGCGUUGUUCGGAAUUACUGGGCGUAAAGGGCUCGUAGGCGGCCAACUAAGUCGGAUGUGAAAUCCCCAGGCUUAACCUGGGAACUGCAUCCGAUACUGGAUGGCUUGAAUCCGGGAGAGGGAUGCAGAAUUCCAGGUGUAGCGGUGAAAUGCGUAGAUAUCUGGAGGAACACCGAUGGCGAAGGCAGGUCACUGGGCCGCAACUGACGCUGAGGAGGCGAAAAGCAUGGGGAGCGAACAGG